AGAGUUUGAUCAUGGCUCAGAUUGAACGCUGGCGGCGUGCCUAACACAUGCAAGUCGAGCGGUAACAGGUGUAGCAAUACAUGCUGACGAGCGGCGAACGGGUAAGUAAUGCUUUGGAAUCUUCCCAGUAGUGGGGAAUAACCAGUCGAAAGAUUGGCUAAUACCGCAUACGUCUGUAAAGGGAAAGCGGGGGCUCGUAAGACCUCGCGCUAUUGGAUGAGCCAAAAGUCGGAUCAGCUAGUUGGUGGGGUAAUGGCCUACCAAGGCGACAAUCCGUAGCUGGUCUGAGAGGACGACCAGCCACACCGGAACUGAGACACGGUCCGGACUCCUACGGGAGGCAGCAGCGGGGAAUAUUGGACAAUGGGGGAAACCCUGAUCCAGCGACGCCGCGUGUGUGAAGAAGGCCUGCGGGUUGUAAAGCACUUUUAGUGGGGACAAAAAGCUACGGAUUAAUACUCUGUGGUCUUGAUUUAACCCAAAGAAAAAGCACCGGCUAACUCUGUGCCAGCAGCCGCGGUAAUACAGAGGGUGCGAGCGUUAAUCGGAAUUACUGGGCGUAAAGCGCGCGUAGACGGUUUUGUAAGUCAGAUGUGAAAUCCCUGGGCUCAACCUGGGAACUGCAUUUGAGACUGCAUGGCUAGAGUAUCGAAGAGGGAAGUGGAAUUUCCGGUGUAGCGGUGAAAUGCGUAGAUAUCGGAAGGAACACCAGUGGCGAAAGCGACUUCCUGGUCGAAUACUGACGUUCAUGUGCGAAAGCGUGGGGAGCAAACAGGAUUAGAUACCCUAGUAGUCC
rnacentral:rRNA from 1 species